UACGUAGGGUGCAAGCGUUGUCCGGAAUUAUUGGGCGUAAAGAGCUCGUAGGCGGUCUGUCGCGUCGGCUGUGAAAACUCGGGGCUCAACUCCGAGCUUGCAGUCGAUACGGGCAGGCUAGAGUACGGAAGAGGCGAGUGGAAUUCCUGGUGUAGCGGUGGAAUGCGCAGAUAUCAGGAGGAACACCAAUAGCGAAGGCAGCUCGCUGGGACGUUACUGACACUGAGGCGCGAAAGCGUGGGGAGCGAACAGG
rnacentral:rRNA from 1 species